AAUCCCGAUAUUUCAAAAAAUGACAGGUUACAUAUUAGUGCGGUUGUUCCGCAUGUAAAACGUGCAUUAAGGUCGAUGUGAGGCACGUUCACACGUCGGCCGCAAGAAGUGUUGAAUAAAAAUGUGUCCUCAAGGCAGUGAGCAGUCCACCCUCGCGCAAUCUCACGGUGACAUUGAUAUUUAUUUUAAUUACGUGUGUCAGUCAAGAGGCAGGGCGUGUCGAAAUUUUGUAUAAAAGUGCGUUCUUGCAUUUUUACGGAAUCGUCGACAAAGGGAUCGCCGCGCGAGGUUGUCGUUCGCCGAAGAAUAGGGUUUCAUGAUUUAGCAAAACGCUGAGAAGAGAACAAGAGAACCUCCUCUUCAUCAUCAUCAUCAUCAUCCUCCUCCUCGCGGAGGAAAUUUGCCCGUGUGUGUGUGCAUGGGGACAGUUAUAAAAAGCGGAAACAUUUCGAACGUGUAUGCACUUUGCUAAAAUAUUAUGACGGAGGCUGGAACAUUAACAUUGCACGGCCGACAUAUUUCUAUCAUUGCUUUGGCCGAGCAAAGAGAGCCGGCCGGAUCAAUUUAAUGGACUUUAGCCGGUUUACGGACUUGUAACGGCCGGCCAUACUUCAGCAAAUAGCAUAAUCGCUAAUAACGCAGAUCAUAUCCGUUUCGAACGCACCGGACUCUCAGCUGGCCUCAAAACCAACGGUCAACAGCGGACAGCGCGACAAAUCAAUGCACAAUUUCGAACAAAUCGCAGACAAUUUUAUAACGAAAGAAAUUUUUAUCACCACUUCUAAUCACGCUGUAUAGCAAAUAGACAUGAAAAUUAUUGACAAAUUUAAAAAAAGUUAAUCAUGAAACUUUUCUUAACUUAAAAUGACUCAAGACUCAUUUUUUCAUAUUUCUAUAGUUUAAAGUUAUGAGACUUUGUUAAAUCAUUUUUAAUUCUGGGUAUAUUAUUAAACAAAAUUUUAGCAUUCCGGCCUUGCUACUAAGUUUUCGAAAAUUUUCAGCAACUUUUGGUUGCGUUUUGUUUUAUUUUUUAUCUAAACCAUUAUAGUAGCAACGUUUUCUUUGUACACCAUUAAAUUUUUAUUACGAUUACCCCAAACCGCAAAGACCCUUCAAGCGAAUCACUCAGGCAAGCUGAUUGCGUGAUUUAUUGUAGACAGGUUGUAGUCUUUCAGACGAAUCGAUCGGUAUCGUAAAUAUUUUUGAGUCACCCUUGUCAAAACAUAUUAAACCCAAUUAUCUGUUGUAAAACUUUAUGGUGUACAAAGAAAACGUUGCUAUAAUAUAACUAUUUAAGAAGUCUUAUUAUUGAAAUAUCUUUUUUUAAACAAUGUUAUAGGUUUAAACAAAAUGACAGAGUGCUAAACGCAAUUUGUUUUCUCAUGUUGAUUAAAAACACUAUAUUUUUGACUCUUCAGAAAAUAAUUGUUUAUGAAUGGUUAUCUAGUUGACAUCUCAUUAAUUUUUAAUAACUGUGUUUAAAAACUUUAUCUUUAGAAUAAUACAUCGAAGUGAGUAUGAGUAUGUGGUCAAACAACAUACAAAGUUUUCAAAAAAUUCUGAAAAAUUCAAGUAUCAAAAAUUGCAGAAUAAAUUCGAACUGAAAAACGUAAAAAUUGAAAGUUCCAGGAAUUUUUUAAACAUCAGGUAGACAAAUUUUAAAUUAUUAAAGAUUAAAAUUUCAAGUCAGACUAAUUAAUGAUUCUAAUACACAUACAUUUUUUUAAUAAAUUGAACUAAUAAUACAGACUGAUCCAGAAAUACUGAGUCUGUUCACAAUACUGAAUUUAAAUUUUAAAGAGUCCGUUUCCAGUUGAUAAUAAUUUAACAAUCUUGUGGGGUUGUACCUACGUCAAAAAUAAUUGUCAUGAAAAAUCGAAUCCGGUUGCAGUGUUGAAAAUUAUAAACAAAAAUAUUUUCAAAGCUGCGCCCCAUAGACUUAGUUCUUCUGAAUCAGUCUAUAUUUUUAUCUAUACGAGUAUUAUAAUGAAAAGGAUGUAGGAAAAAAUCUACGAAGUUUUUAAAAAUGCAAAAAAAUUUAAAUGAUUGUGUAAAAUGAAAACUACCUACAACAAAUUUUGAAACCUGAAACACCUAAAAUAAAAUUAAUUCAGAAAAACUCAAACGUUUAGGAUUUCUAACUUUGGAUCAAUUUUGAUGGCAUCUUUUAUUUUUUUCAAAUACCAUGUAUUUUAUUUUUUAUUUUACUAUACAACUUUCUAAUGCUUAAAAAACGUUGACAUACCAGGAAAAGUAGUAUAAGAAAUUUCAGCUCGAAAAUAUAGGAACUCAAAAGUCUAAGAACUUUUAAAACUUGAAACAUUCAAUUUACGAAAAAACUGAAACGUUUUAAAAUUCUAAAGUUCAAUUUAACUAAACAUAUGAAAUAUUAUUAAAUAGAUAAUUUGAACUUGACAAUAAAAAUUCAAUUAAUUAAAUAAUUUUCAAAAGCUUUCAAAAUCAUAGCUUCUCAAUUCUCAUCAAUUAAAUUGAAAUUAAUCAAUUCCAAUUUAUUAAAACUUAAUUUUUUUUAUAAAAUUCGAUUCAACAAUGAAAAGUUCGAAAAUAAUUUUUGAAAUUUAUAAUUUUGGAAAAUACAAGAUGUGGGCCAUUUUAGAUGGCUUAGGUCUAAAUACGGUCGUUACGGUGAAAAUUGAAAACUUCAAAUACAUCUGAAACUAAAACCUGAACUACCAAACUAAAAUAGACUAUAAAAAAAACUGAAACAUUUUCAAAUAUUGUAAUCGUACUUAGAUUUCAGUUUAGUAACACUUGAAAAUCAAGUUAAAUUAAAUAAACACCAAAAUUCGAUUUUAAAAUUCGGAAACUGGAAAAGAAAAUUUCCAGUUCUACAAAAUUCUAGAAAGUACCUACCAGAAAAGAGAAAUAAUCAAAAACUUUCAAAACCUGAAACACCUAUAAACCCUUGAUUUUGAACUGAAACCUUUUCAAUCAAAUUUUAAUCUGUUUAAAUCGAAUUAUUGAAAAAGCUGAAAAGCCUGAACCAAACGAAAAUUGUAUAUUAUAUUAUUACAGUGAAACGUCAUUAUUUAUCAAACUGUAUUUUUUUAAUUUAAUAAUUCAAUCUGUUGUAAAGCUAAAACACUAAAUAGAUACUAGAACGCGAGCCACAACCUAUAAUUUUUCACUAUAAACAGUAAUUAGUGGUUGUUGUGCCGUCCUUCAGAUGUAAAAAUCGCCUCGAGUCUGUGUUCUAUUUAAUAUCAGAAUAAAAGUAAAUUCCCGUCAAAUUCGUUAAUUAAUCGUGUUGGCAGGUUAGUUUUGUUCAUGUUCCCAUGCAACGCCUGCUCUGAUUGUUUUUAAGGUCACGUGUACGUCUGAAAGAGUGUUAACUGUUAUAUUCUUGGCUUUAUUUA